CCUACGGGGGGCAGCAGUGGGGAAUAUUGGGCAAUGGGCGCAAGCCUGACCCAGCAACGCAGCGUGAAGGAAGAAGGCUUUCGGGUUGUAAACUUCUUUUGUCAGGGAAGAGUAGAAGACGGUACCUGACGAAUAAGCUACGGCUAACUACGUGCCAGCAGCCGCGGUAAUACGUAGGUGGCAAGGGUUGUCCGGAUUUACUGGGUGUAAAGGGCGUGUAGCCGGGUUGACAAGUCAGAUGUGAAAUCCUGCGGCUUAACCGCAGAACUGCAUUUGAAACUGGUGAUCUUGAGUACUGGAGAGGCGGAUGGAAUUCCUAGGGUAGCGGUGAAAUGCGUAGAUAUUAGGAGGAACCCCAGUGGCGAAGGCGGUCUGCUGGACAGCAACUGACGGUGAGGCGCGAAAGCGUGGGGAGCAAACAGGAUUAGAUACCCCUGUAGUA
rnacentral:rRNA from 1 species